UAGACAUCACGACUCGUGUCACACAAAGGGCUCUAGAUAGAGAUCACAAAAAUACAUUUUUCGAACUAUUCGUCUAUAUUAUUUUAAACGGUUGUUGUUUUCAGGUGAUGAUUAUUAUUUGCCUGAUGGAUUUAUGGACAUUGCAAAUAUCAUAAUAUCUAAGGGUCAAAGUUGUCCAGCUCGACUUGCGUGUUUGGCUGGUCGGACUACCAACAUUAGAAAUCUAAAUACUUGGAAGAGAAUUACCAGAAACAAGUUACUAUCGUCGAUGUUCAACACCACUGCAGUCGAAGAUGCAUAUAGAGUUGGCAGAACUGGAGGUCACUGCGAAAGCUUCAGACCUUGUCCAAUAAAUGAAAAUCAGUUUACACAAAUCAUUGAAAAUGUAUGUUAUAGAAAUACUUCAUCGUCGAAUGUUCACCCUUAAUAAAUUAACAAUUUAAUUUUAA